rnacentral:rRNA from 1 species
UACGUAGGGGGCUAGCGUUGUCCGGAAUCAUUGGGCGUAAAGAGCGUGUAGGCGGCUCGAUAAGUCCGCUGUGAAAGUCCAGGGCUCAACCCUGGGAUGCCGGUGGAUACUGUCGGGCUCGAGUCCGGAAGAGGCGAGUGGAAUUCCUGGUGUAGCGGUGAAUGCGCAGAUAUCAGGAGGAACACCAAUGGCGAAGGCAGCUCGCUGGGACGUGACUGACGCUGAGACGCGAAAGCGUGGGGAGCAAACAGG